UACGAAGGGGGCUAGCGUUGUUCGGAAUUACUGGGCGUAAAGCGUGUGUAGGCGGCUUUGUAAGUCGGAUGUGAAAGCCCCGGGCUCAACCCGGGAAGUGCACUCGAUACUGCGAAGCUUGAGUACUGGAGAGGUUGGUGGAAUUCUCGGUGUAGAGGUGAAAUUCGUAGAUAUCGAGAGGAACACCGGUGGCGAAGGCGGCCAACUGGACAGAUACUGACGCUGAGACACGAAAGCGUGGGGAGCAAACAGG
rnacentral:rRNA from 1 species